AUUGAACGCUGGCGGCAGGCUUAACACAUGCAAGUCGAACGAGUGGCGGACGGGUGAGUAAUGCUUGGGAAACAAGCUUAUGGAGGGGGAUAACUAAGGGAAACUGUAGCUAAUACCGCGUACAAUCGGAUGAGCACAAGUGGGAUUAGGUAGUUGGUGAGGUAAAGGCUCACCAAGCCGAAGCUCGCUAGCUGGUCUGAGAGGAUGACCAGCCACACUUGGACUGAGACACGGCCCAGACUACUACGGGAGGCAGCAGUGGGGAAUAUUGCGCAAUGGGGGAAACCCUGACGCAGCCAUGCCGCGUGUAUGAAGAAGGCCUUCGGGUUGUAAAGUACUUUCAGUCGGGAGGCGUUACCGACAGAAGAAGCACCGGCUAACUCCGUGCCAGCCGCCGCGGUAAUUC
rnacentral:rRNA from 1 species